rnacentral:rRNA from 1 species
AUUGAACGCUGGCGGCGUGCCUAACACAUGCAAGUCGAGCGGUAACAGGCGUAGCAAUACGUGCUGACGAGCGGCGAACGGGUGAGCAAUGCUUCGGAAUCUGCCCAAUGAUGGGGAAUAACCAGUCGAAAGAUUGGCUAAUACCGCAUAAGCCUUUCGGGGGAAAGCGGGGGUCGCAAGACCUCGCGUCGAUGGGUGAGCCGAAGUCGGGUUAGCUAGUUGGUAGGGUAACGGCCUACCAAGGCGACGAUCCGUAGCUGGUCUGAGAGGACGACCAGCCACACUGGGACUGAGACACGCCCCAGACUCCGGCGGGAGGAAGCAGUGGGGAAUUUUGGACAAGGGGCGCAAGCCUGAUCCAGCCAUGCCGCUUGCAGGAUGAAGGCCUUCUGGUUGUAAACUGCUUUUGUACGGAACGAAAAGGUUUGGCCUAAUACGCUGAACUCAUGACGGUACCGUAAGAAUAAGCACCGGCUAACUACGUGCCAGCAGCCGCCGUAA